UCUUUUUUUAGAACUGUACGACCCAGGGCAGAGUAAAGUAAACCAGGCAGUAAUGCUUGAUUUGACUAGGGACCUGCAUAAUCUAGUAGUCUUAUUUUUAUGCGAAUAAAUUUUUUUAAUUUAUGUCAGUGUUCAUUUGAGUUCAUUUU